rnacentral:rRNA from 1 species
AUUGAACGCUGGCGGCCGGCCUAACACAUGCAAGUCGAGCGAGCGGCGGACGGGUGAGUAAUGCAUGGGGAUCUGCCCGAUAGGGAGGGAUGACUACUGGACGCGUUAGCUAAUACCGCGUGCUAGCCGCUGACCCCAUGUGGGAUUAGCUCGUGGGUGAGGUAAUGGCCCACCUAGGCGACGAUCCCUAUAUGGGCUGAGAGGAUGAUCAGCCACACUGGGACUGAGACACGGCCCAGACUCCUACGGGAGGCAGCAGUGGGGAAGAUUGCACAAUGGGCGAAAGCCUGAUGCAGCAAUGCCGCGUGGAUGAAGAAGGACUUAGGGUUGUAAACUACUGGUAGUCGCGAGGCGUUACCGACCGAAGAAGCCCCGGCCAACUCCGUGCCAGCAGCCGCGGUAAUUC